GAAGAAAAUCAGUCAACUGAAGUUAUAGAACCCAAGCCUUCUUCGGUGAUCCCUGAAGGCAUGCAAGAACCGGAGUCUGGUGCUGAUAAUGUUGAUAAUGCUGAGCAAGAUAGUACAUUGAUUGACUGCAUACCUGAUCCUAUUGAUUCUCCCAAGAAUGAAGUUCCUGAGAAGGAAUCAUCUAGUAGUAUUGAACCUCAGAAUGAUCAGAACUCCACUGUGCAUGGAAUUGAUGAUUUGAAGGAUAAACAAUUAAUUCCGAGUUCAAGUGAUACUAGGGUGUUACCCAACAAGAAAUUGUCUGCAUCAGCAGCUCCAUUCAAUCCAUCCCCUAUAAUUUCUCGUCCUACACCAGUUGCCAUGAACAUUAACCUUCCUCCAGGUCCUGGUGCUCUUCCAGCUGUUGCACCUUGGCCAGUAAACAUGACUCUUCAUCCUGGUCCUGCUGCAGUCUUACCAAAUCCAAUGUGCUCUUCCCCCCACCAACCAUAC
rnacentral:lncRNA from 1 species